CAGUCGCCGCGGGAAAACGUAUGUUGCGAGCGUUAUCCGGAAUUAUUGGGCAUAAAGGGCAUCUAGGCGGCCGGAUAAGUCUGGGGUGAAAACUUGCGGCUCAACCGCAAGCCUGCCCUGGAAACUAUGCGGCUAGAGUACUGGAGAGGUGGACGGAACUGCACGAGUAGAGGUGAAAUUCGUAGAUAUGUGCAGGAAUGCCGAUGAUGAAGAUAGUUCACUGGACGGUAACUGACGCUGAAGUGCGAAAGCUAGGGGAGCAAACAGGAUUAGAUACCCGUGUAGUCCCUGUCUCUUAUAA
rnacentral:rRNA from 1 species